AAGUGAGAAAUUUCUCUACCAAAAUCAUCCUUAAUUUUCCUUUUUACUGCACUACAAACUCUUUCAUCCACCAACAAGGGCACCUCCAUUGUUCUUCAUGCUGCAUACAGGCACUUCGUAUGCUCUACAAAUUUAAGGUCUUUUAGCCUCGUGUAAAGAAGAUUGGCAACAUGUCAACAUAGGAAUUAUGCUACUCGUUGCAUUUAUAGUACUGAAUUUUCCAUCAAUACUAUUUAAUAUUAUAUGACAUUACUGUAUCAGGUUCUUAUCGUGUGACCAUGCUAAAUAUAUUUGGACACACAAUGGAAUAUGGAUAGGAGUAGUUGACAUGACAGGUAUCUGAUGGGCUAAGUUGUUGAAGGCAUAGAAUGGCUUUAUCUCAAAUGAAAUAUGCAAGGGAUUAGUAUGAUUUAUAAAUAGGCCUAUGAGGUAUGUAAUAACCAAUCUACUCAGACUGAUUAUGUGAGAGAUUUUAAAUUUUUGGAGAAUUUAAAAGAACUAGUGAAUACAUUGUCAUUGUGCAUCAAACUAAAUGUAUGUGAUAAUACAGUUUAUGAGGCAGUUCAAUGGACUUUGAAGGAUGGAGUUUGAAUAUGUGGAAUAAUACAUAUUUACU